AUAUUUAAGGAGGCCGCGCAAGCCUAAGCUCAGUCUUGUGCCUGCUAGAGACCAAAGAGGUUGCCCAGAAGACCUGGAGCAGAGGCCUCUCUCCCUACAACCAGUAACACCAACCAGCAACAAGCAACAAGCAACCAGCAACGAAGGCCCUCUUUAAGUGAACAAUCAACAUGGAUUUUUAUAUUGCCCUGGAAGAUGUUGCCUCCCAGUAUUUGUCUAUUUUUAUUUUUGGGUUUUACAUCCUUGGAAGUUUACAUGAAGGGAGGGGACUGGCCAACAUCUUGAACCAAAUCAUCUUUCUGAAGUUUCUUAAACCCCUUAACAGCGCAGCCCAAUGGAUAUUUCACUUGCUAAGAGCUUGGGUGCCUGGUUUUUUUUCCAUUCUGUUUCGUCUGAGUCAAAGUUUUAGUGUUUGUGUGUGGAAAGAACUAAGGCAGAAGAAAGGAAGAACUUUAAUAGAAUGGACCUGGUGGGCAUUUGCCAGUGUAUUUGUCAUCUCCCAAAAAGCCAGAAAUGUCAGCAAAGUCGUUCUCGUUAAAACCAGGAAGCAGUUUUUUGUCAUCUGUGUUCUCCGUGUCCUGGCCAAGAUCUGGGAAAUAGUAUACCAACGUGCCCAAGCCCUAGCAAGUUUUACCAUCCGAAAACAGAUCAAGAUCCAACCAGAUACCCAAGCUGCUGCUAUUACUGCUACUACCACUGCCUUCCCCUUUGACCUUUGCACCCCAGUUGUUCCUGGGAGACCGCAAUUUGCUGACCUGAUGUCAACCAGGGCUAGCUUUGGCCAUUGCAGAAGACCUUCUUCCAGGUCUCAUUUCCAUCAGAUUCCUGGCAAGGCCUAUAAAGCCAAGAGAGGACUCCAGGAGCCCUAGAGGACUCCUCGACACCAUGGUCUCACGCAACACAAAGAGGAGAAGCCCUGCCCCUUGGUAUCAACACAACUGAAGCAACAAGUAUCGUUACAUCUCUUUACGUAGACUUCCACCCAGAGGAGCAAUCAAUAAAUAAAGGGUCCAAGCGUGAAACCUCUUAAAAA